GCCUCGUGGUGUGUGAGCACUGGGGCUUGAGUCCAGGCCAACACACGCUGAAAAAAGAAUGAGAGCUAAUCAGAGCGAUGCUCUCCAGCAGGCUUCUGUGCGCGGCGUUACAGUGAAAUCUGAAAUUCCUUUUGCUGCUCAUGCAUACAAAGCAGGAAGAGCGAGCACGGCUGCAGACUGUUUGUGCUUUCAGAUGGUUUUGCCAAGGAGAAAACAACAGGGUAGCGGGAAGAAAGCACACUUGCUCGGAAACACGUCUGGAGUGCAGCUCCCCAGGGCUCACCCUAGGGCAGGGCAGGGGCACAGAGAGCCCUGCAGCCAUCCCAGCAUACACCCACACCUCCUGCUGCACGGCGGGGUCAGCAGCCUGCAGAGGAACAUGCGGGACACGUCGUUCCUCCUGCCCUGCUCGGCAGCCCUGCUGCGCAGUGUCACAUGAAGCGAAGCACUGAUUAGAAAGUAUUCAUAGAAUGGCUUGGGUUGGAAGAGACCCUGAAGACCACCCAGUUCCGACCCCUGCGUGGGUUGGGCACCCUCUGCAGCUUAGGCUGCCCAGGCCCUACCAGCCUGGCCUUGGGUCCCUCCAGGGAUGGGGCAUUAGGUGGGUCCCUCUGGCUUGCUGCACACAGCCGUGGUGGCUGGGAACAAGCACCCAUCUGUUUUCUUUGUUUCCAAGUGACACUCAGUCCCCGAGAUUAUCUCCCCUUGACUGUGACAACGUGGAAGAAGGCAUUGGGAUCGACAAGCAGACAAGUGCUCCCGUGUUCCACAUCCAUCCAUCUGAUGCGGGCUCGUUGCAGGCGGAACCCCUCCCUGCGAUGUCUUACGUGCGUGGAGAGAGAGAGAGGCACUGGGGGCUGUGGUUAGGGCUGGGUGGCAUCGGGUGAGGCUGGGGAGGCGAGGAGAGGAGGUGAGCGAGAGGAGCGCUUUGGUGAGGCUGCACCCCCCUCUGCUGGAGAAACCCAGCAAGGACACAGGCAGGGAAAGGGGUGUGGAAAACCCCUUGGUGGGAUUGGAACGUAUGGAAUCACAGAGCCACGGAGUGAUGGAACGAUUUAGGCUGGAAGGGACCUUAAAGAUCACAGAAUGAGAGAAUGGUUGAGUUGGAAGGGACACCAAAGUCCCCCAGCCCCAAUCCCUGCCAUGGGCUGGGUGCCUCCCAUUUCAGGCUGCACGGAACCCCAUCCGUGGCCUCAGGCACCUACAGGGAUGGGGCAGCACAGCUCUGGGCAGCAC
rnacentral:lncRNA from 1 species